UUUAGGUCACAAGACUGCGCCAGCGCGCGCGCGGUCCUAGAGAAAAGUAACAGUGGCACUGCGGGAGGGGAGGAAACGCACAGCGCGGGCCAGCCUGGGAAGCCGGCAGGGUUUGCGAGGGAACACGUGUUUUACUAACUCGAGAGGCACCGAGUAAGACAAACCUGAAGGGAUGAAAUGACUGAUUCAAGGUCACUCUGUGUGGGGAAUGGAAUCCAUAUUCUUCUGAUUUUCUUACCGACAGGAUAGUCACUGUCCUGGAACUCUGUAGACCAGUCU